UCGGCAAUUUCAUAACUUUAACCCCUAAUAUAAAAUUGAAAUUGAAACAGUACGGCACGCCAUCUUGAAGAAUAAUUAAACAUGAAAAUUUCAAAAACAAUGAAAUACCAGACGAUGUAAUAGUGAAGGCCAAACGUAACUAAAGUCGUGGCAAACAGCCAUUAACACAAGAUUCUCCAGACUCAGCCAAUUAUCAUAGAAGACGCGGCAGACCAGCUGGAAAGAAUAGAGCACCAUUAUCUGUGGAAGAACGUCGCGCCCGAAAUGCCCAAUACGAAAGAGAGAGAAGAUGCGAAACAGCGGAAGCACUCUCUGAGUUAGCUGCAUCUAUUGGGAAAAAAGACUCUUCAAACGCAGACAUACUCGCAACAGCUAUAAGAGUGCUGCAAAGUGCUGAACAUAGACAGCCGUCAGACGAAAUAAUGGAACUCAGAAGAACGAACGCAAGUUUGAUUAAACAAAUCGAGUCUAUUGAACAACGACUGGCAACUUGGGAAGAGCGAAGUGAACGUAGGGACAAAUCAAACUCAAAUAAACACGGCGGAAUCAGCAAAAAACGUAACAUAAAAAAAUCUAGAACAAUGAAAUCAGCAAGUAAUGAUAGAACAUUGAAGCGAGAAAAUUAUAUAAAUCCUAACAUGGAAUCAGGUGAAAACAAAGGCCGAAAGUGAAAUUCGACUGCAAGAUGAAGUAUAGUUUAAGUGCAAUAUAAUAUAAUAAUUUGAUGUGCAAUUAUUUCUUUGUUUUUCAAUAAUUUGUGAUGCUUUACUUUUAAGUGGUAAAUAUACUAUAUAAGGAGUCCU